rnacentral:tRNA from 1 species
UCUGGUGUGGCAGAGCCAGGAUAAAUGCAAAAGACUUAAACCCUUUGAUCGGACGUUCAAACCGUCUCACCAGUA